CAUAAAUGUAAGAUUAUCUUACAGAUAGUACUUGCAGUUUAAUGAUGAAAUAAUAGUAUUAUUAGAGGGA
rnacentral:tRNA from 1 species